GGGGUUUUCUUCUCUUGUCCCCCAGCUGAUGAUGAAAGCAUCCAAGUGGGUGUCCACCGACAGUUCCUAACACGCUCCUCAUGCAAGUUAAACAUGGUCCCUGGCAAAAAGUACCUCCUCAUGGGGAAAGAUGGGGAAACAGUCGAUUGCAACAACAAGAUGCAGUACUUCCUUGAUGCACAAGCCUGGGUAGAGAAAAUUCCAAGCACCAGUGAGUGCCGCAGCACCCUGCGUCGGCAAAGCUGUGCUCACUUGCAGGACUUCCUGAACACGUCUGACAGCCUGUGCCUCCUCUGAUCCCCACAUCCUAUCUGUGUGACUGCGGCUUGCCUCCUUCCCGAAUUUUUUUUGCAAAGAAUGUUCACCCAAGUGGCACCUGAAACAUUGCAGGGCUGCUUCCAUUGCUGUUUUGCUCUCUGGGGUAUUCCUUGUAGAUUUGUGUGUGGGAGUAAUAUAACAAAAAAUGCAGUUACUCUGCUAGUUAUUGUGUUUAUUGUACCUGACACUGGCAAAGAGAGAGUAGGAAUUUCUGUCUUCCUGAUCCAUUAUAUAACAGCGCAAUUAUCCAGUGGAGGGUCAAAUGAAAAAAACAUUUUGCUUGCAGAGCUGAUUAAUUCCUGCCUCCCAGGGAAAAGAGGUCGAGAAAUUUCCAUGGGUCAGAAAGAUGACUGGACAUACCAGGGCUUACCAAAAAAGCUGUAUAUGUAUACUUUGUAUCACUUUUGUGGCUUCCACAAAUAUCAAAC